UACGUAGGGUGCGAGCGUUGUCCGGAAUUAUUGGGCGUAAAGAGCUCGUAGGCGGUGUGUCACGUCGUUCGUGAAAACCUGCAGCUUAACUGUGGGCGUGCGGUCGAUACGGGCAUCACUGGAGUUCGGCAGGGGAUACUGGAAUUCCUGGUGUAGCGGUGAAAUGCGCAGAUAUCAGGAGGAACACCGGUGGCGAAGGCGGAUCUCUGGGCCGUACCUGACGCUCAGGCGCGAAAGCUAGGGGAGCGAACUGG
rnacentral:rRNA from 1 species